GUCCGGGGAAGCUGGGCCGGGAGGCCGUCUUAGUGCAUGCUGGGAGUUGGAGUCUUUUGAAAGUAGGGACAGAGACCAUCAUGGGGAAUGAGGGCAGGACUGUCACGCCGAGAAACCCGCCUGCCCAGCACCUGGGUGAGAGAGACCUGCAGGAAACUCGAACAGAGACCUCCGGGACCGAGGCUAUUAGGUGCUGCAGGAUCCCUGACGGUUUCUAGGUCAGGGUUAACAACCUGUGGCCAUACCAAGUCAACACCCUGAAGGCAGUCAUUGGUCAUGUGUGUGGAUCGGAUGGCUUCCUCACGAGUUUGCUAUUUGAGGAGGCAAUUGUUCAGGGGAGAUCCUCCACGGUGUUCUGUAUCUCGUGGGAAAGAGGAAGAGUUGAACCGUGAAGCCUGAUGCAUAACAACGGCUGGAGCAGUGGACCUGGCUGCAGUGUCCAUAGCAUCAAGGGC